rnacentral:rRNA from 1 species
UGGGGAAUAUUGCACAAUGGGCGCAAGCCUGAUGCAGCCAUGCCGCGUGUAUGAAGAAGGCCUUCGGGUUGUAAAGUACUUUCAGCGGGGAGGAAGGGAGUAAAGUUAAUACCUUUGCUCAUUGACGUUACCCGCAGAAGAAGCACCGGCUAACUCCGUGCCAGCAGCCGCGGUAAUACGGAGGGUGCAAGCGUUAAUCGGAAUUACUGGGCGUAAAGCGCACGCAGGCGGGUUGUUAAGUCAGAUGGUAAAUCCCCGGGCUCAACCUGGGAACUGCAUCUGAUACUGGCAAGCCUGAGUCUCGUAGAGGGGGGGAGAAUUCCAGGUGUAGCGGUGAAAUGCGUGGAGAUCUGGGGGAAUACCGGUGGCGGAGGCGGCCCCCUGGACGAAGACUGACGCUCAGGUGCGAAAGCGUGGGGAGCAAACAGG